GACGAACGCUGGCGGCGUGCUUAACACAUGCAAGUCGAACGGAAAGGCCCUGCUUUUGUGGGGUGCUCGAGUGGCGAACGGGUGAGUAACACGUGAGUAACCUGCCCUUGACUUUGGGAUAACUUCAGGAAACUGGGGCUAAUACCGGAUAGGAGCUCCUGCUGCAUGGUGGGGGUUGGAAAGUUUCGGCGGUUGGGGAGGGACUCGCGGCUUAUUAGCUUGUUGGUGGGGUGGUGGUUGACCAAGGCUUUGACGGGUAGCCGGACUGAGAGGGUGACCGGCCACAUUGGGACUGAGAUACGGCCCAGACUCCUACGGGAGGCAGCAGUGGGGAAUAUUGCACAAUGGGCGGAAGCCUGAUGCAGCAACGCCGCGUGCGGGAUGACGGCCUUCGGGUUGUAAACCGCUUUCGCCUGUGACGAAGCGUGAGUGACGGUAAUGGGUAAAGAAGCACCGGCUAACUACGUG
rnacentral:rRNA from 1 species